rnacentral:rRNA from 1 species
GACGAACGCUGGCGGCGUGCCUAAUACAUGCAAGUCGAGCGGAGUUUCAGAGAAGCUUGCUUCUCUGAAACUUAGCGGCGGACGGGUGAGUAACACGUAGGCAACCUGCCCCGAAGAGGGGGAUAACAGUCCGAAAGGAUUGCUAAUACCCCAUGUGGUUAUCGGGAUCAGAAUCUGAUAACUAAAGUCGUAAGACACUUUGGGAGGGACCUGCGUCCCAUCAGCUAGUUGGUAAGGUAACGGCCUACCAAGGCUAUGACGGGUAGGGGACCUGAGAGGGUGGACCCCCACAAUGGCACUGAAACACGGGCCAUACACCUACGGGUGGCAG